rnacentral:rRNA from 1 species
GAUCAUGGCUCAGGAUGAACGCUAGCUACAGGCUUAACACAUGCAAGUCGAGUGGCAGCAUCAUCAAAGCUUGCUUUGAUGGAUGGCGACCGGCGCACGGGUGAGUAACACGUAUCCAACCUGCCGACAACACUGGGAUAGCCUUUCGAAAGAAAGAUUAAUACCGGAUGGUAUAGUUUUCCCGCAUGGGGUGACUAUUAAAGAAUUUCGGUUGUCGAUGGGGAUGCGUUCCAUUAGG